rnacentral:lncRNA from 1 species
GUAGGUCCCGACGGCGUCCUGGUGUGGUUUUCGGGACUUCUGGUGAGUUACGGUGAUCGGUUUUGGGAAAUCGAUUCAGGGAUCUGUGUGGGGGUUUGUGAGAUAGUAUACUUCAGGUUAGUGGGUUGGAUAGUGACCUAGUGGAUCUUCGUAGGUUCGGUGAAGUUGUGUGCAUCCAAGUUUUUCGACGCGAUUGUGACAGGUGGGUGCUUCGAGCUGGUAGUCGGUGAGAUCGUUUCACCCUUCCUCUGUUCUUUCAUAUCAGUAUCGUAGUCUCUACAUGUCAGCUGAUUGUUUAUCGUUUGUUUAUUGCAUCUCAUUGAUUGCAUUUGGAUUGUUGUGGAUAGACAUGUAGAGCAGGUUACAUAUAUAUUGUAUCUUUGUGGACCUUGGGUCUAGGCAACACAUCGACUCCUUUGUCGUGUGUUUCGAUCUGGUUGAUCGUGGUUCGGCGUUGUACGCCCUUGCACCUAGCUUCGGCCAAGGCACCGAUCUUUUUUUGCCAGUUUUCGUUUUGAGCAUAUCAGCAUGAUUUAGUCACAGCACUGUGUAUUCUAGACACCAGGUUGGUUUGGCCGCCAACCAAGAGGUGUACGUAUCCGGAUAGGUCGUCGGUGAUGCAUGAAUAAGUUGGCAGUGUCUGCUCUGUGACAGGCAAUACUCGAGGUUUGCGGACCAAUAUAGCAGCAUCAGAUUGGGUUUGGUUUGGACUAUUUACCCUUGAGGCAUACUGUAACACACUGGACCUUUGCAAAUUGCGAGGUUCGAGUGAUUGGAUGUGUUUCGAGCUUUUCCACACUUGGUGAAGGGUUGUAGAAUGCUUUUNGGACCUUUGCAAAUUGCGAGGUUCGAGUGAUUGGAUGUGUUUCGAGCUUUUCCACACUUGGUGAAGGGUUGUAGAAUGCUUUUCCGACCUAAAAAGUUUGAAAACCUGAAUUCUGGAUGAGUCCUGAGAGUUUUUACUCUCGGGGACCGGUCCCUGAUAUGAGAGACCGGUCCCCCCAGUGAACAGUGUGCGUAGGCGGCAAGGCAACCGGUCCCGCGCAGGGAGAGACAGGUUCCCGAACGUUGGUUUUUCGGGUUCGCAGCGAGAGACCGGUCCCUGCUGGGGAGAGACUGGUCCCUCUGGGCGAAAACUGCCCAGACCGGGCUGAUGUAAUACUAUUUUCUUGAGGGGCCUCUUGGGAUUUUGUUGCAUUAGAGGGUCUAUAUGACCCAUCCACUCUCUCCUCUCCCCAUUUCUCUUCUCUCAACCCUCUCUACACCCUUGAUAGAGAAGAAGAAGAAGAAGGAGAAGGAGAGGAAGGAGGAGAAGAAGAGGAGGAUCUAGCUUGGGCUUGGAGCAUUCUUUUGCCUUUCUUCCUCUUCCCACCUUGUUGGUGCUUGAAGGCUUGGACUUGGAGCUUGCAUAGGAGGAGAUCUUCACCCUUAGAGCUAGGAUUGGAGCUUCUAAGGAGGUUUGUUGCUCAUUUCCCUCCUCUAGAUCUUGUUUUGAAAGUUUUUGUAAAUGGAACCCUAGAAUAGAGAUUUAGGGCUUAUUUUGGGGCUUUUUGAUUUAGGGCUUUUGAGGCUAGAUUAAUUGGUUUAGAACCUUCCUUGGGCUUGGAUUGGAAGGGUUCUAGCUCUCUUGUGGAGCUUUGGAAGAGAUUUCUUCUCUUGAGGUGAGUUUUGGCCCUUUUUGCUUCUAGGUUAAUGUUUGAUCUUAUGGUUGGUCGUAAUGCCCUCGUAUCUCUUCGCUGAUCACUUUUAGGGUACUUUGAGACUCGUGGACAACUCCGUUCGGCGAAUCGAAGGAGCAUGUGACGGUUCGGUGGGUUUGGCCUAGCCACACAAUGAGAAAAUCUCAUUGGUGUUGAUUUGAGUACUGUUAAAUGUUUAUUCAUGCAUUUCCAUGCUAGAUACAUUUAUUAUGAUUUUUAGAAGGCUUAUUUGCCUACGUUACAUGUGGUGAAAAUUUCGGACCUCUAUGUAGUAGAGAGCUAGCAUGUGGAACUUGAACAGGUUUAGCAUCACAUUGAGACUUGGAAUCAUAGUUCCUAUGGUGAAAACGAGCAUCUCAUGCAUGCAUUUAAAGUUAUUUCUAUUUAAGAUUUAAAAGUUCCUAGUGAGCCAUAAAGGGGCUCGGGGAUUUGCACUACUUGUGUACAAUUGGGCUAAUGUCAUAAAGGGGCAUUGAGCUCGGGUUAUGUGUGAAUUUAGUGGAUAGUGCCAUUGAGAGAGUUGGAGUGUGCUUGUUCAUCGAAAUGUCUAAGUGUCAUAAAGGGGCACUAGACUUAGUGAAUAUUAGAAUUUCACAUUGUGACCUAGAACUAGAUCUUCGAGAUGCUAGUGAAUAUUGCCAUGUUAGAGACAUGAUGAUUGGGUAUUUGAGACGUUGACUUUGCUUGCUUGCCAUUUGUGCUCAUUCGCACAUGCUUAUGAGGGUCGCUCCCUUCAAGCCGGCACUCCGGAGUUAGCCUAUGCGACUUAUGUAAGCCCGUGCGGUAUUGAGAAGCCUACGGGGUCGAGUGGGACAGACACAUUCCAAGAGUAGGGAUGUCGGGCUACCACAGGCACUUAGGCGGCACAAGCUGGACUACCUUUGGUAGGUCCUUAAUUGGAAAUGAAAAUCGACACGGUGUUGAGUUUAUUAUGAUCACUACUAGACAGAGAGUGGUAGUAGGAUUACAUGGACUUACUUCUAGCAUAGUUGUGGACAUUUGGGUAUUCAUACAUACAUGUAGUAUGCUAGGAGAUGUUGUUUAUUGCAUCCUUAUAUGCAUUGUAGUCAUGACAAAGUACCACUUUCAUAUCUGUAUAAAGUAAAUCAUGAUAUUACUUGUGAACAUGUAGAUAUAUAUUAUCCAUGACAAGAUAAAGUCGCAUUAUAAAUGCCAUGUUUAAUUGCAAGCCGUAGCUUAGCAUCUUAAUUAUGCUUUCUUAUAUGCAAUUUACUCGUUACUAUUAUUGUUAGACUUACCCUUUCUUUUGGGGUCUAGUGGUGCAUUGAGCUGAGGUCAGUAAUUGCCCAUUGGGAACUAUAAAUUAUAGUUCUCACGCCCUCUGUUUUAUGUUUUCUUUCAGAGCCUUCCACGCCGGGAGAGGCUAGGGAUCGAGGAAAGGGCGUGGCUUCGAGCUAGCUCUUCAGCGAGUGACGAGUCGCUAGGUGGUCUACCUCUCGAUGUUUUUAUUUUGUGAGAGGUUGAGAGUUGUACCCGUAUAUGUAUAGAGACCACCUUUCUUUUGGAUCUUGGUAUUUCUUUUGAGGUGUUAGUAUUGUAUCACCUUAUGCUUUACUUUGUUUAGUUAUAUUUCUUUUACUCUGAUUUAGAUGAUAGAACCUUACUCGCUCUGAUAUCGUUAGUUGUUAUUAUUCUAUUCGUUCUAUUUCUUGCCUUUACUUCCGCUUUGUUGUAGACGCCUUAUAUGUGUAGACAUAUGGCGGGUCUGGGCACGCCGCCGGGAGGGCCUCCGCCGGUCCCGGGACGUGACACAUACAAUCAGUUGAGUUUUUGGUUACAGUAGUAGUUUCGUUCUUACUCAGUUAUUAUUCUGUUUCUAUUACUACUGUAGUUGCUCUUAUAUCAUAUAUAUAUCUUGUUUAUCUAUCUCCAUUGGUUUCUGGUGAUUACAGUUUGCCUUCGUGGCUCUGUCGUGCCCAUUGGAAAACCAUGGUUGCGAUUUCUCACCCUCCAUUUCCCCCAGGUGACAUGGACGAGGUGUUGGAUUUUGGGCUCGACAGGAGGACGAUCUAGCUAGUCUGGUAUAGCAACUGUGACCCUGGUUACUUUCAUUUUGGCACUUAGUAGUUUUAAUAAUAAAUGGUUCAGUUAGAUGAUCAUAUUGAUGUUUGAAUAUUCGUGAAUUGGUUUUAGUGGAUGAUUUACUAUGAUGCAUGAGAUUGGAGUUUUCAGAUCUGUGGUUUUUGGUUCUCGUAAUUAUGGAUUUACGCAUCGUGGUUUUCUACCCCUCGAGGUAGCUGGUUUUUAAAAUAGAGUUUCCGUGUGGGAAACAAUUUAAAAAAGGUUUUCGAAUGAUUUUCAUGGAUGAUUUGAAUUAGAGUUUAAAAACAAAGCUUUCGGAUGGGGAGCACUUUUAAAUAGGAUGAUUGUUGUACUGUGCAUUACAUCAUCCAGCGCCUAAGGAGUGCUUAGAGGCAUGCAUCAUCUCUAAGGAUCGUUAGCUGUAUGAAAAUGCAUAUCAUGAAAUGGUUGUUGAUUGGUAAUUGUAGAUUGUAGUUGAGAUCCUGAUGUGCCUAUUGGUACGCCGUGCAAAUACAAAGGAGACUCUGUCCGAGUGGACAGAUGAACUUUUUAUUUGUGGCGGGUCUGUAUGUCACGUGGGCCGGGUUGAAAAAAAAGGGCACGUUUUCCGCAAUUCUGAUUUCAAAAUGGUAUGGAUUCUAAAAAGGCUUUUAAAAUCGGCCCCGGGGCAUGACAAUCCCACUCCCUUGGAGGGCAGUCAGGCAUUCUUCUUUCCAAACCAUAAGAAGCGUAGGGGAGUUUAUUCUAGCAUGCAUUUGCAGAGGAGAAGUGGAAGAAGUGCGGCCGAGAUACAUGGCGUUAGGGUCUGGAAGUGGAAGAGGGAGGGGGGAUGAGGGAGGAGGGAGCUAUGCGAAGGUAGUAGUGCAAAAAAAAGGAUCUAAGUGGUGUAACAUAUUCCUAAAUAGUGCAAUGAUUUAAAGAAAAUGGUGCAACGAGUCUAUAACCAGAGAAAAAUUUUUCUUAAAUUAGGUCAUCGUACUUCUCAUCCUCAGUCGUUGUGGCAGCGGCGGGGGGCGGCAUUCGAGAUGUGCAACAUAAUGCUUAAACGAUUAAAGAAUAUCGUGCAACAUCUCUUAUAAAAGCUUACUUCUUGUUUUAGCAGUACAAUAAUAGUGCAAUGUAAAACAUGAAUAACAGUCCAACACGGAGAAAAAUAGUGCAACUAAGCUUGUAAGAGUAUAGUGCAGUCGUAAUAAUAGUGCAACAUUCACUGUAAUAGUGCAAUGCAGUUCCAACUAGUGUAAUAUAAGAGUAGAACACUGACUGGAUUGUUCUUUCUAAACUUAAUAGUGCAACCCAAUAUAAAAUGGUGCAAUAUGCAGCUCUAAUUAGUGCAAGUCGUCACUAACUAUUGUAAAUAAGUGCGAAAUCAUAAGAAGCAUAGGGGAGUUUAUUCCAGCACGCGUUUGCAAAGGAGAAGUGGAAGAAGCAUGGCCGAGGUACAUGGCGUUAGAGUCUGGAAGUGGAGGAGGUAGGAAGGAGGAGUGAGGAAAGAGGAGGGAGUUAUGUGAAGGUAGUAGUGCAAAAAAAAGGAUCUAAGUGGUGUAAAAUAUUCCUAAGUAGUGCAAUAGUUUAAAAGAAAUGGUGCAACGAGUCUGUAACCAGAGGAAAAAAAUUAUUAAAUUAGGUGUAAUAUCAACAUUAAUGGUGUAAUAUUUGCCUAUCAUGCAAUGUGUCAUUAAGUAGUGUAAAAUUUUCUCCCUGAUUGGUGAUAACAUGAAAUUAAUAGUAAAAACAGGUUUAUAAAUAGUGUAACGAUGAUCAAAACAGUGCAAAAUUCUUUGCUAAAGCGUGUAACAAUUCACUAAGAAGUGCAAUUUUUUCUCUGUAUUUGGUGCUAGCAUGAACAUAAUAGUGAAAAUAAGUUCGAAAUUGAUAUUAUACUAUGACAAAAAUAGUGCUACUUUCUUUGCUAAAUAGUGUAACAAGUUCGUAAGCAGUCCAAAGGGCACGAAAAUAGUGCUUAUGUUUCAUCGUGCCGUCUAAAUGGCGUGGUGUACAGUCUUGCCACCUCCGUGGCCGACAUACUGAGCAAUUCUGCUCUUCUACCAGCACCAACAUCAUCGCCAACGCCUAUUAGAAGUAAAAAGAUUAAAAAACGGUACGAAAGCGUGUAAGUACCAACCCCCUCACCGUCUAAAUCCUCUAGGCGCUCCUCACAUAGUGCCAAAAAAGGUAGCACUAUUUUCGUCAUAGUAUUUAGCAAAGAAGGUAGCACUAUUUUCGUCAUAAUUAAUUAGUUCAUUAAGUGAAACAAUAUUACCAUGCAACCUAUUCAAUGACAAAUUAGAAAAAAGAUUCUAAAAAUAUUGUCGAUAUGAUCUUCUAUCACAUGAGUAUAGAGAAAUAAAUAAGUAAAGUGUAAAAAAUAAAAAAUAAACAAAACAAUAUGAAAUUAAUUUAUAAUUUAUAUUAUUAUAAAAUAACAAAUUACAUAAUUAAAAAACGUUAUCGUUUGUCAAGAUUAUAGUAUUCUUCCAAAUCUCUCUGGAUGCACAAUAUUUCCUACUAAAAUUUCUUUCUCUUCCAAGUUGAAGGUCCAAUUGAUGUCAUAUCUAUGACAUUAUUAGCUCCUUAUAUAGAAAAAAAAAUACUCAAUAAAUUAACGAAAUAAUUUAUAACUAGUGAAGGAGCCCGCGCUUUGCAACAGGUAGAAACCGUAGUAGUAAUUAAUAAUAAGAAAAUAUAAAACAUUCUUUUGUGUAUCCCACUUGGAAUAUCCUCUAAAGGUCGCGGCGGAAAGGGAAAGUGGGCGCGCAUUAGUGAGGAAAAGGGAGGGAGCGAGGAAAGGAGGCGAUAGUGUAUAGCAAUAAAUGAGAAAUAGAGAAUUGAUGAAUAGAUUGGAGAUAAAAAAUUAAAAGUCUGGUGGAGGAAAUGAAAAGGGCCAUAAUGAAUAAUUGGAGAUAGAGAGGUUAGGAUUGUAGAUGGUAGUGGGACCAUUUAAAUAUAUUAAUUAGAAGUUUGAUAGUCGAAUCAUUUGCAUUAAUUGAAAAUAUAGUGAGACUAUUUAAAUACACUAAUUAAAAGUUUGGUUAGUGAGACCGUUAAAAUAUAUAUUGAAAGUUUAGUGAAAGAAAGAAGAAGGGUCACAUGCUAGUGAGGGUGAAGGAGAACUUGCCACGUAGUAACAAACAUUGGAGAUUCAUGUAGGUUAAUAGAUAUAUUUAAUACUUCAUUAAUCUAUUGGUAGUGGAAUCCAAAUGAUUGAAAAAACUGAUAAAUUAAUUAUUUAGAAUUCAUCUUUUUAUUAUUUAGAGUGGAAGAUGAAAGGAUCUGUUUUAAAAAAGAAAACUGAUAAACUAAUUAAUUUCUCUAUUAAAUUAAAAAAAUUUAAAACUACUCACUUUUAGGAGGAUAGGCGGCUCUUCAUCUUCUACGUUACUUAAAGGCCAACUAUUAUUAUGAUUAGGGAUGCAAACAGGGCGAAUCUCGAGGCGGAAGCCCUGCCCCGCCUUCCGCCCCGACUACCAAAAUCCCGCCCCGCCUCCUGCCCCGAAUCGGUGACAGGUUAAAAAAUAUAUCCUAUAAUCUGCCCCGCCUUAUAACCCGCCUCCCGUCAGCGCCCCGAAUCCGCUUCGCCAACUAAUAUUUUUUAUAAAAUUAUAAUAUUAUUAAUAUUUCGUAAAAUAUAAAUUAAUACUUUUUAAUAAUAUUAUAUAUAUAAUUAACAAUAUUAAUUAUAAAAAUUAAAAAUAUCAAUCGCAAUUCGAAGAAAAAUUCAAAAGUUUCAAAUAUAUGAGAAAUGAUAGUACUAAGUUAUUUGUAUUUUGGACUUUUUUUGUAAAUACAUUAUUUUUUAAGGAUAUUUUUAAAAAAUAUAAAUGAUUUUCGGGGCGAAUUCGGAGCGGAUUCGGGGCGGAUCGCGGCGGGGCGGAUUCGAGGCAGAUCAAAAUUUCUCCUAUUUCCUGCCCCGAAUUUGUCUUUGAUCAUAAAAUUACCCUAUUUCCCGCUCCAAAUUCGUUUAUUUUCUCUCAUUUACUGCCCCAUUUGGGGCGGAUCGGGGCGGGAGCUCCACCAACCCGAAUUCGUUUGCAUCCCUAAUUAUGAUGUGCAUGUGAAGAAAAAGAAGUACUCAACAGAACAAAUAUAAAGUUCAAUUCUAAUUGAUUUUUAAAAAUUUUAAAAUUUAAAUCCAAACCAAAGUAAUCUACACCAUUAAAAGAUCCAUCUAUAGAAAUUAUAAUUUUUUGGGUAAACUUCAAAAAUCACCCAUGUGGUUUCGCAUUUUCUCACUUUAGUACCCUGUGGUUUAAAGUGUAUCAAGUUAGUGCCCUGUAAUUUUAUUUUUAUUUUUUCGUCAGCUUCUUCGUUAAUAUUUCGUUAAAUUAUAUACAAAAAACUUCAGAUACCCCACGUAGGUUUAUCGAAUAUUCACUUUAGUACCUUUUAUGUAACACACUGGAUCUUUGCAAAUUGCAAGGUUCGAGUGUUUGAUUUGUGUUUCAAAUUUUUUCAUACUUUCUGGAGAGUCGUUAACAGUGUUCCGACCUAUGGUUCACAUCCCGAGAAUCGAUGUUUGAAACUUAGCACCAAAUCUCUAAAGUGAAAAUUGUUGGCUGCUCUUGGGUUGGACUCUGUAGAGCAGAGUACCAAUACAGCAUCGGGCCUGUACCUGAACCAGACCUGGUACCAGUACAGCAUCGGACUUGUACCGAUACCCAGUGUGUUUUUCUGCAAACUCGAGGCUCGGGUUUGCGAGUACAGUGGCUUGGUACCGGUACUCUUUCCCGUGUACCGGUACGCAGUGCAAAUUGUGAACUGCUUAUUUUUUAGGGGUGUUUUUGAUAUUGUAGCAUCUCUAUAUAGCAUCCCAUGCCCUUUAGUUGUUUCCUUGAGCUUGGAAACACAGUAGAGAAGGUAGGGAAGCCCUCUACUUCCUCCCUUUUGUUUUCUUUGAUUUGUGUUGGGAUUUUUGAGGUUUAAUCACCUCCUUUUGUCUCUUGUUGGUUUUUGGUGCCAUUUCCACCAUUGGAGAAGCUUUGAUUUCGUGAUUGGAGCUUGAUAGAGGAAGGAUCUUCAACCCUAGUUGAUUUCAAGCCUUGUUUGAAGCUUCUAAAGUGGUUAAUUGCUUACCUCUCCUCUCUAGAUCAUGAUUCUCAUGAUUUUUGUAUAGAAACCCUAGAAUGUGAAAUUUAGGGUUUAUUUUGGAGAUUUUUGAUUUGUAGCUUCUAGAACCUAAUUGAUUGGUUUAGAACCUUUGUUUAGAUUGGAUUUUAAGGGAUUUUACUCUCAUUUGGAGAUUGAGAGAGAUUUUCAUCAUACAAGGUGAAUUUAUGCCAUUUUCUUGGGUUGAUUAAUGUUUGAUCUUAGGGUUGUUCGUUUGUUGCGUUUAACUCUCUUAAUAUUACCUUUAGGGAGCUAGGAGAGUAGUGGACACCUUCGUCGGCGCAAACGAAGGGUUAUGAGGAGUCUUGGUGGGUUUGACCUCAUCGAAAUGAGAAAAACUCCACCUAUGUCAAUUUUUAAUUGUCGUAAAAUAGAAAUGCAUACAUAUUCAUACUAGAUAGAGUCUACGAGAAUUUUAAAAUGCUUAAUAUACAUGUGCUAUAUUUUAUGAAAAUUACCUCUAUAUAGUAGAGAGAGAUAUAUGCAUUGUUAGCAUGCAUGAGAAUAACAUUCUAUUAUAUGGUUUGGGAAUCAUGUUCUUGUAAAGAAAAUGUAGCACACUGGACCUUUGCAAAUUGCGAGGUUCGAGUGUUUGGAUGUAUUUUGAGCUUUUCCACACUUGGUGGAGGGUUGUUGAAUGUUUUCCGACCUAAAAAGUUCGAAAACUGAAACUCUGGGCAAGUCCUGAGAGUUUUUACUCUCGGGGACCGGUCCCUGGAAGGAGAGACCGGUCCCCGAGUGAGCAGUGUUGCGGCAGCCCUGAGGCAACCGGUCCCUUGCGGGCGAGAUCGGUCCCCGAGCGCGCCUUCGUAGUGAGAGACCGGUCCCGCGCAGGGAGAGACCGGUUCCCGAACGCUGGUUUUUCGGUUUCGCAGCGAGAGACCGGUCCCGCGCAGGGAGAGACCGGUUCCCGAACGCUGGUUUUUCGGUUUCGCAGCGAGAGACCGGUCCCUACUGGGGAGAGACCGGUCCCUCUGGGCGAAAACUGCCCAGACCGGACUGUUGCAAUAAUGGAUUUUUGAGGGGCCUCACUGGAUUUUGUUACACUAGAUGGGUUUAUUAGCCAUUUCCCUCUCUUCCCUCCUCAUUUCUCACCCUCACCCUACACCUUCUAGAGAGAGAAGGAGGAGAAGGAGGAGAAGAAGAAGAGGGGUUUGCUUGAGGGAGCUUGGAGCUUAACCCGUUUCUCUCCUUUCCACCCUUGCUUGGCUUGGAGCUUGCUUGUAGAGCUUGAUGGUGGACCAAUCUUCAACCCUAGAAGAUUUGGAGCUUGUUUGGAGGCAUCUUGGGAGGUUAGUACUUGGAUUCUACCCUUUGAUCCUUGAUUUGGUAGGUUUUACCAUAUGGAACCCUAGAUUGGAUAUUAGGGUUGAUUUUUGGGGCUUUUUGAUCUAGGGCUUUUGGGGCUAGAUUGUUUGGAUUAGAACCUUCCUUGGGCUUGGAUUGGAAAAGAUUUAGCUCUCUUUUGAAGCUUGAGAGAGAAUUCCUACACAUUAGGUGAGUUUUAGCCCUUUUGCUAAGUUUGUUAAAGUUUGAUCUUAUGGUUGGUCGUAAUGCCCUCGUAUCUCUUCGCUGAUCACUUUUAGGGUACUUUGAGACUCGUGGACAACUCCGUUCGGCGAAUCGAAGAAGCACGCGACGGUUCGGUGGGUUUGGCCUAGCCACACAAUGAGAAAAUCUCAUUGGUGUUGAUUUGAGUACUGUUAAAUGUUUAUUCAUGCAUUUUCAUGCUAGAUACAUUUAUUAUGAUUUUUAGAAGGCUUAAUUUGCCUACGUUACAUGUGGUGAAAAUUUCGGACCUCUAUGUGGUAGAGAGCUAGCAUGUGGAACUUGAACAGGCUUAGCAUCCUAUUGAGACUUGGAAUCAUAAUUCCUAUGGUGAAAACGAGCAUCUCAUGCAUGUAUUUAAAGUUAUUUCUAUUUAAGAUUUAAAAGUUCCUAGUGAGCCAUAAAAGGGCUCGGGGAUUUGCACUACUUGUGUACAAUUGAGCUAACGUCAUAAAGGGGCAUCGAGCUCGGGUUAUGUGUGAAUUUAGUGGAUAGUGCCAUUGAGAGAGUUGGAGUGUGCUUGUUCAUCGAAAUGUCUGAGUGUCAUAAAAGGGCACUAGACUUAGUGAAUAUUAGAAUUUCACAUUGUGACCUAGAACUAGACCUUCGGGAUGCUAGUGAAUAUUGCCAUGUUACAGACAUGAUGAUUGGGUUUUUGAGACGUUGACUAUGCUUGCUUGCCAUUUGUGCUCAUUCGCACAUGCUUGUGAGGGUCGCUCCCUACAAGCCGGCACUCCGGAGUUAGCCUAUGCGACUUAUGUUCGCUCGUGCGGUAUUGAGAAGCCUACGGGGUCGAGUGGGACAGACACAUUCCAAGAGUAGGGAUGUCGGGCUACCACAGGCACUUAGGCGGCACAAGCUGGACUACCUUUGGUAGGUCCUUAAUUGGAAAUGGAAAUCGACACGGUGUUGAGAAUGGUUAAUCACUACUAGAUAGGUUUAGUAGUUGAAUGACAUUUAUAUGCUUUUAGCAUAGGGUUGAGACAUGUAGUAUACUUGAUAGUCUCCUUUUUGCAUUAAAGCAUACUUGGUUGCCAUGACAGAACUUAUGCAUAAUGUAUUCAUAAAGGUUAAUGAGUUACUAUUUUGAUAUCGUAGAUGUACAUCACCAUGACAUCAUGCUUAUUGGAGACAUAGUAGUAUAGCUUUUCAUUCAUGCUUUCUUCCAGCAGUUUGUUUGUGUGUUUGCUAUUUAUUGCAUAUUACUAUAUGUCGUUACUUACCCUUUUCUUUUGGGGCCUAGUGGUGCAUCGAGCUGAGGUCAGUAAUUGCCCACUGGGAACUAUAAAUUAUAGUUCUCAUGCCCUCUUUUUCUCGAUAUUUUUCAGAGCCUUCCGCGUAGGGUGAGGCCAGGGAUUGCGGAAAGGGAGUUGCUUCGAGCUAGCUUCCUUCGAGGACGAGUUACUAGGUGGUCUACCUCUGGGCGUCUUAUUUUAUUUUGCGAGAGGUUGAGAGUUUUACCAGUGUACUAGAGACCGCCACUUUUGUACCUUUGAGACGGUUAUUGUACUACUUAUGGUUUCUUUUAUUGUCUAGCUUUAUUUAUUCACUUUGGUGUAGGUGAUAGAAUUUCUACUCGCUCUGAUAUCACUAGUUGUUACUAUUCUAUUUGUUUUAUUUCUUGCUUUUACUUCCGCUUUACUAUAGACGCCUUAUAUGUGUUGACAUAUGGCGGGUCUGGGCACGCUACCGGGAGGGCCUCCGCCGGUCCCGGGGCGUGACAGAAAAUGACUUAUGUUAUAUGCUCCUGAACUUAGAACUCAUAUUUGACAUAGUGGAUAAAAAUGUCAUAAAGUGGCAUGGAACAUAGUAAAUGUGAAACCUUUACUUGAUGACAUAGUGAUAGGCCAUUGGGUCACUCGUUUUUAUGCCAUGUUUUAGACAUGAUGACAUUGGACUGGAGACGAAAAUUUACGCUUGCUUGCCAUUGUGCUCAUUCGCAUAUGCUUGUGAGGGUCGCUCCCCACAAGCCGGCUCUCCAGAGAUAGCCAUCGCGACAUAAGCUCGCCCGUGCGGGAUUGAGCGCCAAAAUAGGAUGCCGUGGGGGAGGCUCAUUCCUAGGGUAGGGAUGUUGACUAUCACGGGGCCAUAAGGCACAGCACAAGCCGGACUACCCACGGGUAGGUCCUACAUGACUGGAAUACUAUUGAACUAAAACGCAAAGUGGACAUUAGACAAAUUAGUAAACAAUGACAUUUCACUAGUUAUAUCGUGGACAUCAUGUUUCUUAUACUUAUGCGUAUUCAUGUUAGAAUAACAUUUAUACUUAUGUAACUUCAUACUAAGCAGAGGCAUAGUGGUAUAGCAAGUUUAAUCAUGUUUAUCAUACAUAUUAUACAUUCUAGUUAAAAGUUGAACUUACUACUUUUGCUUUUUUUUUGCCUAGUGGUGCAUUUUCGCUGAGGUCAGCAAUUGCCCACUGGGAACUAUUGUUUAAUAGUUCUCACGCCCUCUAUUUUGUUGUUUUUCUUACAGAGCCUUCCACUCCGAGAGAGGCUCGGGAUCGCAGCAAGGGAGUUGCCUCUAGUUAGUUGUGAGGAGCUUUGCUUUUAGGUGGUUCACCUCUCUAUUUUUGUAUCUAUGUAGAGAAUGAGAGUUUUGUAUCCAUGUAUAGAGACCACCACUAUGAUACCUUUAGCACUUGUAUUUUGGGAUUUCAUGUUGUACUACUUUAUGCUUAUGUUAGUGGAUUAGUCCCUUUAUUUACCGCAUUAUUCUAGAAUCUAAUUGUUGUAUAUUCUGAUACUCCUAGAUGCUCAUUUAUUAUUAUUUUAUUUAUCGUUUUGUUGUAGACGCCUUAUAUGUUGUAGGCAUAUGGCGGGUCUGGACACGCACCGGGCGGGCUUCCGCUGGGUCUCGGGGCGUGACUUUUUAGUUUUAACUUUGUCACUUAUUUAACGAAAAAAAUUAGUGAAAUCAAUAAUAAAAGAAUAAAAAUAAAAUCAUAGGACACUAAAUCAAUACACUUUAAACCACAGGUACUAUAGUGAGAAAGUGUGAAACCACAUGGGUAGUAUUUGAAGUUUUUCUAAUUUUUUAUACUUAAUAUAAUAAACUUUAGAAGCUAACAUUGCUGAUUAUUACAUAUGCAUAAGAAUUAGAUUUUUUUUUUAAUUAUAAUAUUUAGAGAUUGUCCACAAAUUUAUAUAAAGACACUUUAUAUGUUGAGAUCAUAUCUGUUAAAUUAAAUUUUAAGUAUAUUAAAUUUUAAAUGCAUCCUCAGUUUGCGAUCUCGUGGUUCAAACAGCUUCACUUUUUACUUUGCCAUCUAGUGAUUCAAAAAGUUACACUUUGUCCUCUUGUGGUUUAGUGUAUUUUUCAAUUUGCCACCCUAUAGUUUAUUAAAAAUUUUUGUUUUGCCAUCCUAAUUCAUAUAAAAUUUUUUAAUAAAAUGAAAAUUGAAUCAUAGGAGAGAUUAGGUGAAACUUUUUGAACCACAUAGGUGAAAAUGAGCAAAACCAUAGGGGGCAAUUUGAGGUUUAUCCAAAAAAGUUAUAAUUCGGGGCACAAUUUUAUUUACUCCUUUAGCAUUUAAAGUGAAAGAUAAAAGGAUCCAUUAUAACGAAGAAAACGGUUAUACUUACAAAUUCCUCUAUUAAUUGAAAAACUCCUUUAAAUUAUUCACUUGGAGGAGAAUAGAUGGCUCUUCAUCUUCUUUAUUACUUGAAGGCCAAUAAACUUGAUGUAUACAUCAUAAGCUUCCUAAUUGAAUUUUAAAAACCUAAAAUUUAAAUCUAAACCAUAUAAUCUACACAAUUAAAUGAUCAAUUUAUAAAAAUUAUAAAUUUAUACACCUAAAUAAUGAGCGUUAGAAGUUAAUAUUGCUUAUUGCAAAGGAUUGAUUGUCAUGCCCGGGCCCCAGCGGAAGCCUACCCGGCACGUGCACAGACCCGCCGUAUACACAAGGAACCCUUCGGUGCACACAAGGCGUCUACAUCAAAACAUUCAAUGGAGAUAACAAGGAAUAAGGUUUUAACAUGGUAACCAGAGCAUAAGUACUAGACUGAGCAAAUAGACUACAACUAGAGGAUAAUAACAACAAGUUAAUACGAUAAAGAGAGCAACUAUCCAAAAUGUACAUCAAGUAUAAUCCAAAAGAAUACAUCUGUCACGCUCCGCGACCGCCAAUUUGGUCGGUUCGGGGACGUCGAUCAGACGCCGAACAGACAGAGCCUCUCCUACCCGCCCAAGGCUAACAACAACGAGAUCAAGUAUGUCAACAGUUGCCUAGGAAACAAUAACCUCAUACAUGAUCUAAGCAAGUACUAAUACAAGCAAUCGACAAAAGAGAGAAAGAUCUAGCUAUUACAAUUCCAUUCAACAUAUACAUCGAGUUUACAUUUUUUGUCACGCCCCGGGGUCCCUUUUAGUUUAUAACAUAGCGGAAAAGCGUCUGAAUUUUUUUUUUUUGAAAAGCUUGACCCCAGAGUAUGCCAGAUCCGCCACAAAUACAGAAAAUCUACUGUUCACACGGACAGUCUCCCCUGUAUUUGCACGGCGUCGCACCAGUACAAGAACUAACCCAGGUACAACCACAACCAAAUGGAUAUAUAAAUAACCAACAAUUAUAUAUUCAUACACCAUUCACAUCACAGGUUCACAUUUAUAUAUUCAAUAUUUAAACAUAAAUCCAUAUCUAUCAGUUAAAAUGUUUCCAACUCAGAAACAGGUUUUGAAAUACUAAGAUACAAAAUCUACAGAAAACCUUUUGAAAACUGUUCCCUACACGGGAACUUUUAUCUUUUAAAAACGCUACCACGAGGGGUAGAAAACCUUUCCAUUUUACAAAAUCCGCAAAUCCGUUUAUUACAUUCAUGAAAACUCAUAUUUUCAAAUGUAAUAAAAUAUACUGAACCAUAUAAACUAUCUAAGCUAUAACGACAUAAUAGUAAGGGUAGAACUAAACCGAAUAACCUGGGUCGGAAGUUCUAUCGACCGCUACGUAUCUCACGUCUCGUCUCAACCCUCACCGCCCGUGGUACCUGAAAAAUAGUGGGGGAGGUGAGAACAUGUAAACAUGUCUCCCCUCCCAGUGGGUACCGCAAGCCGAAGAAGGCGAGGAGUACUCACCGGAUCAGGAAGAGCUAUACAACAACACGGGUCAGUGAAAAUACAAUAGGAACAAUAAUAAACGAAAGAGAUGUAUAAGGUAAUGAGCAGAUAUACUGAAUACAAUAGCAAUAAACUGAAAGAAAGUAGGAACUAAACUGAAUAGCGGCUACCGCUACUAUAACUGGAACAGAAAGCAUACAUGAAUAUCUACUAUAGUAGCAAGACAACUAUAAAGCAAGAAUUGUAAGUAUGCAAGCAACAACUGCUACUAUAGACAUAUGCGUCAACCGAACGUAUAGACCAAAUAUACCCAAUCUGUACUGGCCGUAUUGGUACCCAACACCUCAGGCCCAUGCCACAUCUGCUCUAAACAGAAACAAGCCAUAUUGGUACCCAACACCUCAGGCUGAAAGCAUAUAACCACACUAGGGCUCACGGGUUGACACAAGCAACCACUUUUCCGGAAAAGAACACCCUCUUGCGGUGGAUCAGACCGCUGGUGUUCGUGAAAUGCGAACGAGCUGGGCGAUCAAUGCAGAAUGCUCAAUAGCCAAACGUCAGCAACUAGCCGACAAUCACUGCCCUUCGGGGCUCAUCGACCGUAUAGGUCAUCAACUGUAAGGAAGCACAAGAACUGACCACUCAGAUCAACUAGGAUAUAUGCACAACGAAUCGACGAAUAGGUCAUCAGGGUGUAUCAAUAGAAUCCAGAACUACCGCCGGCCACUAGCCAACAAUCCAACCCCUCUAGGGUACAUCGACCACAACGGUCAUCGAACGACAGAAACAACAAGAGUCAUGAACUGACUGACUAGGUCACAAACAUGUCAAAUAGUGGAUAUGAGUAAACUAUAAUCAUCCGUCGGCAACUAACCGACAAUCUCACCCCUCAGGGUAUACCGACCUCAAUGGUCAUCGGACAACAAAGGUCAAGGAUCUCACCGAAUAGGUCACAAAUACGGAAUACUAGAAUCGACCGACUAGAUCACUGAUCUCACAGAUAAUCACGGAAUCGCUCUACUAUAAACAUAAAACAGGGUAUGCAGAAUAGCUAAGUAGAGCAACAAGAAAACAUGGUAUCACGUACAGAUAGACUAUGCUCCUACACAUGAACUAAGCAUGGAAACGUCUGAGUAGAGUAUAAUCAAACAACGUGGUGUAAUGUGAACAAUAGAGGUGAAAAGCUCAACAUAUAAUAUAUGCAUGGAUAAUAACAAAAGAGCAAGGGUAAGAAACCAUCACCGAGCAUGCACCACUGUACCAACGUCGGAUCGAAGUACCCACCUGUACGUGUCUGACGAAGAUCUCUCGACUGUGAAGACGAAACAAUCGAACCUACGAAAGAUCCAACGGGUUAGAACCUAACCCACUAACAUGUCUCGCUAACACACAAUCCCCACUCACCAGAACCACGAGAAUCGGUUUCCCAAAACCGAUUAACAAACAAGCCGGAAUUCCACUGUCGCUGACCUGUCAUUUUCGAACCCUCGAAACAACGCGUGUGACCAGCCAACAAGGCUCAGCGACGCUACAAUCAACCACGAGGCACCGUCGGAUGAAUUCCGAACCGAAACAGCGUUCUAUCGGCGGAUUUCGCCGAAAAACGCAUCAGAAAUCACUUUUCGAUUUCCGCAAGGGCUAGGGGCCUUGGAUGAUUAGUCCAGAGGUUAUCCUCAGCCCAAACAUGCUGCCAACAGCAGCUACAUCGAAGCAUAAAUCCUAAAGGCCCAUACUAUAGCCUGAAAUCUCAUUAUUUUAUGCGAUUUAUAGACUUUUCUGGAUCGUGCACGCAAACCAGAGAUUGAUUAAGCCAAUCAUCGCGCUCACUGAUAGGUUUCAGCAUGACGGAGGCCGUGCUUACCUUUCGGAGCACUGCCGGCAGCUGCGCUGCACACACGAGCGAUGCAAAUUCUAUGAAACAGUGCGCACAGCGCGAGGAUUGCUGUUAACUCGCUAACUAAGGCAUCGUUGCUGCUGUCGGAGGUGAGCACGAUGUUCAACACGAGUUGUAGAUCAUCGUGCUCACUUCCCGAAGCUUAGGAGGCUUGUCGGAUCACCGGAAAGGUGACCGGAACGUCGGAAUUCACUACUGGAACAUAAAUAGCCCUUACCAGACCCGAGGAGAGCUAAGGUUGGUCGCCGGCGGCUGGGAGGAGGGUGGUUCGGCCGAAGGAGGGAGCAGUCAGUCCGAGAGGUCCGGGGAAGGUUGUAACACACUGGACCUUUGCAAAUUGCGAGGUUCGAGCGUUUGAUUUGUGUGUCGAGCUUUUCCAGACUUUCUGGUAGGUCGUUGACAGUGUUCCGACCUAUGGUUCGAGUCCCGAGAAUUGUGGUUUAAAGCUGUGUACCAAAAUCCAAAAAGUUGGAUUUUUGGUCAGCUNAUUUAGUGGAUUUACAGCUUUUCCUCAUCCUUUGUUGUAGCAUUUAGACAUUUAUUAUGCUCUGAUACUCCUAGAUGUCUUUUAUUAUUGCUUUUAUUAUCGUUGUUUUUAGACGCCUUAUAUGUUGAAGACAUAUGGCGGGUCUGGGCACGCGCCGGGC